AAAAUCACAGGUGUUUUCUUAGAACGCUGAAUCUGCAAAAGGUUUCUGGUAAGUAUAGUACAUUCCUUUUCCAGUUCUUAGCUUUGUAAAUAUGGAUAAUAACCUCUCUGAGAAAUGUUAAGAUUUGUGUAAACACAAGAUUUUCUCUUGACAGAGAAAUCCAUAUUUUAUACUGAGUUUUAACAAUAUGAGAUUCUUAAUGAAUCUAAUAAUUCCCCCAUGUUAAUCUUUACUUGAUUUCCCCUGUCCAGAUUAAGGAUCAGCGCACACAAAAAAUGCAGUUCUACAUUUUAUAAGGACACUCAGAAUCACCUAUUUUAGCAAACAAAUAUCGGGAUUCAUUUACACCAUGAUAUCUAAUACCUAAUAUCAGUGGGUCCUAUACUAAUCUUAACAUGGGAGAUUAACAUGCUAACUGCCAUACUUACUGCCCAAACUGCUUCUAGAGACUCUCCUCAAAUCGAUGCUUUCCUGUGGUCACCUCCAAAAGAACACCUAUGGAGGGGGAUAUUCCUUCAAAUUAAAUAGUUCGUACAGACUCUCAGAUACACACUCAAGGAAACAUAGAAAAAGACUCACAAUGCACACAUAUAUUUAAAGUGACAGACAUACACAUUCCGAUAUACAACUCGCACUCACAGUCAGGGCCGGUGCAAGGAUUUUUGCCGCCCUAGGCAAAAAAGAUUUUGCCGGCCCAUUCACUUUUCUUUUACAUUUUAUUUAUCUUUUAAAUCAUCGUUUGGAAUACAGGUUUAUAUUCCAAACACUAUAGUGUUUGUUUAAAAGUAUUGCUUUUUUGUUGGUGAUAUUUUGAGAUUAAAAUUGUCCUUAGGGCACAAAUGCAAUCACUGGCACAUACAUACAUACAUACAGACUCACAAACCCAUGCACACACAAAUUCACUGACCUAUGCAAACUGACACACACACAUUGAUCCAUGCAGACUGACACACACACACACAAACGUUGAACCAUGCAGACUAACACACACACAAACUGUUCCAUGCAGACACACACAUACUAAUCAUGCAGACUGACACACACACACAAACCCAUACAGAUACACAUGCACUGAUCCAUGCAGUCACACGCACACUGACCUUUGCAGGCUGACACAUACACACACUGACCCAUGUCACACUUACCUUGAUUUCAAAUAUCAGUUGUCUCUUUAUGUAUUAUGAUACAUCUCAGAGGAUAUGUGAAAAAAGGUUUACUGGUUUCUACAAUACUAGUUUAGAAAUAGCAUCACGCACUGCUAUGCUACCACCCCUUGUCCCCAAGUACAGUGCAUGGGGUGGGAGCGAGAGAGAAGUGCACUCAGUGAAAGGCCUACUUGUACACUCUCUGACACCCUGCCCCACUUCCUUCCUUAAUCUCUCCCUUCCAUUUCACCACACACAGGGGAGGAGGAUGAGCGCACAGACUCUGCGCCAGCGAGCUACCUCAUGGGAUAGGAAUCCAGUGCAGCCAGACGCCAGCCAGGAGGUAAUUCAGCACUUCCAUCAGGCAUUCAGUCCGCUAAUCUGACCAUUAGAAACGCCUAACUUUUAUGUCUUUAUGUUUGUAUAUUUGUAAAGUGCUUUGAGUCUCACAGGGAGAAAAGCGCUAUAAAAAUUGCAAAUUAUUAUUAUUAUUUAUGAGCUGGUGCCUGUCUGUCAUCCUGAUCCCCAUCCUUAAUUUUACUGUUACUGCCCAUUUGGCCAGUUUUAAAAUUCCUUACUGGGUCUAUCUCGGCGGCCCUGCUCAAAGACAUACAUCACUCAUAGGUGUACACACACACACGCACGCACGCACGCAUGCGCACACACACACACACAUCUGGACACAUACACUCACAUUCACAGCUUUAAUAUACCAUCUGCGCUUAUCCUCACACCCCUGUGUCUCACAUGUACCCUUGUUCAGCAUACCUACCAUUCCUCACUGCUUGGUUGCUAUGUGCUAUGUGUGAGGAGAGAGUGGGGAAUGUGAUGUUACUUCCCCUCUCUCUGCACCUCUGCUUCACACACAGAAUGCUGAGCAGGCAAGAUGCAGCAGUGAACACUGGGAGCGGGCCACCAUCACUGUUGCUAGUGAUGUCUGUCUUGCACCAUAGGUGUUUCCUCUGUCAUAGACGGUAAUUAUGGGGCCCCGCUGAUCAACAUGUUGCAGGUCAAAUUGAUCGGCAUCAGACUAAAAGAAAUGGAGAAAAAAAGUUGCAUCAUGAAAUGUCAUCUAAUAGAGGCAGAACCUAUACUGUUUGCUGCCCCGAGGCCAUGGCCUUUGUGACCUUAUGGCAAACCCAGGCCUGGCCACAGGGUUCAUUUAUAAAGUACACUGCCACACACAGUAUAUUACAGAGGGAAGGAGCUUGCAAUUUGCAAAGCACAAGCAAUGGCACUGAAACACACUGCAAAACAAAUAACCUGUCUCUUAUACUGAAUCCAAGUGGGUGUAAGUGACACAGGCAGUAUUUAAUUAAGAGGAACUUUUUUAUUACUAUUAAUUUACCAGAUGAAGAGGAGUAUUCAACCUGCUACUGCCCACUACUGGCACUAUCCUCACCAUCCUUCCUGCUCUUCCUUAGGGUAGUAAAAGUGGAGGAGAUACCGCUGGUGGUAAGUGGUGACAACUACGCAUAAUCACAUACAGCACCAAUGGGCCUGCUUUUGGAACAAGCAAUGGUUGGAACUUUGUGGAUGUUACUAUAUCCCAUAUCAUUGUUCUCCAAUGGACUUGCUCCCAGGCCUAGUACUUUUUUUUUUGUUUCUUCCGUAAUACAGCAUUGUGGUGUCUUUCUAAAUAUAGGUUCAUACUGGCAGUCUGGCACUACUAAGAUGACCCACCAUUCCACCCUUUAUUAAUUUCCUUGCAGCACAAUUUGUGCUUUGCAAAUUGCCCUUCUUGGAGGCACAAGAAAAGGGUCAUACUUCAGUGCUUUACAAUAGCCUCAACCCUUCAACAUGCAGCUGCUAAUGACGUGGAUGGAUUUGCAUCGGUAACAGUGUGACAGGCCCACUUGCAAUGCUGAUGCUGCCACAUAAAAACACAUUAUCAAAAUCGCUAGCGAUAUACCGAGAACUGACGGCCCAGGUGCUAGUUAACGGGGCGCUGACUGAGACUUUUACCAUACAUAACGGCACGCGACAGGGGUGCCCUCUAUCCCCGCUUCUGUUCGCUCUCGCCCUGGAACCAUUCCUUACACACAUUCGACACAACCCAGACAUAACAGGCCUGACGACAGGCCAAGCACACCACAAGGUAGCGGCGUACGCGGACGACCUACUUUUUGUGGUGACCAACCCCGAAAUCACCCUUCCAAACAUCCAGAAAGACCUGCGGACAUUUGGCGACAUAUCUAGCCUAAAAAUUAACUACGGUAAAUCCUACAUCCUUAAUGUUAGCGUCCCCGCCACACGUGCAGACCCUCUACGACGCAGUUUCCCCUUCCAAUGGGCUGAAUAUAAAAUUAGGUACUUAGAAAUAUGGCUGACUAGGCAGAGCAGAGACCUGUAUAGGGACAACUUCGCCGAUAUACUGCACACGUUCCAAAGAGACUUGAGGGAAUGGUCCUACCCGCACAUAUCGUGGCUCGGGAGAGUGCAGGUCAUAAAAAUGAACUUUCUUCCGCGCCUUUUAUACCUCUUCUAGGCCAUUCCCAUCGUCAUACCGGGCCCCUUCUUCAACACACUCAGAAGAGAAAUGAUAAAAUACGUAUGGAACGGGUGGAGGGCCAGAGUGAAAUUUUCCACACUGACACAUCCUAAAGACAAAGGGGGACUAGCCCUCCCAGACUUCCACCAGUACUACGUAGCCACACACCUACAGAGAAUCAUGGAAUGGUCUAAGGACGGAGUACACAAACUAUGGAAGACGGUGGAAGAGGCAGAAGCAGGCAGACCGAUCUCGGGCCUUCCCUGGGGCCGAGACACAACCGAUAGGGGCGACAUGUCCAUAUACACGAGACACACCAUGAGAGUGUGGGGGAGGGCUGUGAAGAAGGGGAAUAUGGCACCGUACCCCUCCCCCUCCUACCUCUGACACACAACGAGGACUUUCCUCCGGGUUUAGACCCAAGAGCCCUCAAACACAUCCUCCCGGACAGAUCCCCACGCCUACACCACCUCCUCCAAGGAGGGAAAAGCAAAACGCUAACGGACAUAAUGGGAGAGACGCCCCCGACCUUUAUGCACCACUUUCGACAUGCCCAACUGACCAACUAUGUCCACUCCCUGCCACAGGGACCAGCACUCGCCAGAGACCGGACCACAAUAGAAGUGGUCAGCUCACACCCAGACCCGCUCCCACACGGAGUGUCCUUCCUAUACUCCAUGCUCCAAUCAGAAACCCCGUCCGAGACACCCCUCUUCAUGGGAAAAUGGGAGGCCGCCCUGGGUAACACGCUUACAGAAGCAGAAUGGGAAUCCAUCUGCUACCUUACACACCACUGUUCCACUCACAGCAAAACACAGGAAAUGGCCUACAAGUUUCUAACACAUUGGUAUAGGACACCACACCUCCUUCACCACGUAAACCCAGACCACUCCAGACUCUGCUGGAGAUGUGAACGAGAGGUAGGCACCACAAAACACAUUUGGUGGGAUUGCGCAUUGAUCCAACCGUACUGGAAGAGGAUACACAAAAUGCUAGAGAAAUUCACGGAUGUGCCCCCCCCCAGAACCGGCAGCGAUGCUCCUACACCACACAACAGUUCCCCGCUCUAGAUACAAAAAAUCCAUGACUAUUAGAAUACUUAACGUGGCUAAACGAGUGCUCCCCCAAUUCUGGAAACAAACAGUGACACCCCCACUUUCGACCUGGUUUAGCCAAAUGGAGGAACUCAGGACAAUAGAGGAAUUGACCAUGACGGCCAAUACUACACCCACUACCUACAUGAGCAUUUGGACGCACUGGAUUCUAGAGACGGCAAAAGAAGAAUUCCAAUUAGAACUCAGACCUAACACUGACGGACACCAUGACACAGACAGAUAGAACUCAGAACACACACCUCAGACGACGCUAGACGGCCGACAGACGUACUGAACGGAACCACCCCCCUUUCUUCCCACCCCGACGCAUUCCCCCCCCCUAGAACCACCCGAGCAUUAUCAUUGCUUGGAUCAUCCCCACCGUACCCACAACAACAAGGGAUACCAUAAUCAGGAACGACAACAUACACAAACUGGUACACACUUCCAGACCAGUCCGGGAUGACACCCCAAAGCCAAAACACACGAACAACUGUGAAAAUCCUGAACAGGCCCGGCAACGACACGGCUGAUGCCGUAACCACACACCCAACAAAAGGGUACCUCCUGCCUGCAAUAUCACCAUAUCCCUGGUUAAACACGGGAAAUACUGUUAGUAACACACAAGCCCAACACGGACAAAACCGCACGGCUAGAGACACAGGGCUCUAUGAGAUGCCCGACGACAGAGACCAUAGAGAAAGCCUACGUUCCCAGGCUCCCACGAAGAAUGAGCCCCUGAUACGCUGUGUGACCAGACAAGAUAGCAGAGGAACGCCGACACAUAGACGGAACUCGAACACAAUAGAAGGGACACAACGCAUACACUACAGUUCCUACGUGUACAAACGACACAGAGAACGGAGCUCACUCCACAAACACUGACACCUAAUCAAGGACUGAUUAACCUAGUUCAAGGACGGUUACCUUGCAUAUUGUUCACCCAGUUUAUAAAAACUUAACUUAACUUAUAUUCCCGAACAAGCGUAACAACAUAAAAUGGGGACCUGCGAGUCCUUCUAUGAUGGGGGCCUGUGAGCCCGACUUGUUAUCUUUUGUCAUACCAUGCAAUGGAGACCUGCGCCUCUCAUCGAACCUUAAUACAUGCAAAAUGAAUAAAAAAUCAUAUUAAAAAAAAAAAUCGCUAGCGAUAAAACCAAAAAUGACGCACCAGCGCAAAACACAAGCAAUAAAGCCACAAGACAGGGUACAAGAUGGUCCACCCUUGGCAUUACAAACUAAGCUGCUCAUUCAUUGCUAUUUUUCACUGUCAAUUAGACAAGGACCAACAAAUAUAGCCACUUUGUCAUUAAUAAAUGCCUUAUUUAUGUAAAUUUACAUAAAAAAAUAACACAAUUUUGAAUAACACAGAAAAGUUUCUAGUGGUCACUUUUUGUCACAAAAAGAGCCCCGAAACUGAUCCAAGUUAUGUAAUCAUCCAUUCAUAAUCAGGAAUCAUUUCCCAUGAUCUUUCCACCUACCAUGAGAGGGAACAACUGAACUAUGGGAUCACACACUCCUCUUUUCUGGUUCCCCCCUGUUUCCUUUUUCUGUGAGUGUAAGGUUUUAUAAUGUUGAUUCUCAGACACAGGUCUCUGUCCCUCUGUUCCAAGAUUGGCCACUCAUACAAAGGUUUAUUGCCAUGUAGAAGAUUAUGACAAAAUACAUUUGAUUCUUAAGUAUGCACAUUAAAUUAUGCGAUUAUAUAUAUAUAUUUCUUUUUCACUUUAAUUUAUUAAAAUAGGUAAAGAAAAAAGCAAAGUGUAAAGUGAAGAAUAUAAAUUGUGUUCAAUUAUUAGGAAAUGUGCCAACUGCAGGGAUAAAGGCAUGUAGCUUAUUUGUUUUUUUAUUCUAUAUGCUGUUUACAUUUAAAUCUCAUCUUUUUUAUUUAGCCCUCAAUCCUGCAGUUCAAUCAAUACUUGUCUGGAAGACUUUGAGACAAUGUCACACACGAUUCCACUGAGGUUUAACCCAUACUCCAAACUUAGGGA